AAAAAAUUCUUUGCUUUGCGUCGCAUUUCGUUCGUUGUUAGUGUUUUUGCUGUAAUAAAUAAAUGAAAUCAUUAAGCAUGUCCGAACAGGAUCAAUUCUUAAGAUUUUGUUAAGCAGAAUAAAUUUACACACAUGCUUCAGGAUAAUGAAACGCACACACAGCAACAGCAGCAGCAGCAAAAUAAACAGGAAGAUGCUUUACAAGCAAUUAAUCCUAAUUAACACGGUGUGUGUAUGUUAUAAUUUCCUAACAUAUGUGUAUUUCUAAUGAUAGAGGACAAGGACCUUUAAAACACUUACGGAAAAAUAAGUUUUAAAAUAAAGAAAAUUUUGAUUGCCAACAAAGGUCAAUGCCAGUGUGAACAGUAGUAGUGGUAAGUGUUUUUUUUUUUCAUUUUAAAUUUCUCAAUUGCCUGUAAUGCAUUUUUAUGUUGUUUUUUCUAAAAGCGUGAUUAAAAGCAUCUGUUUAAUAUUUUCUAUUAAUUAAAAGCAAAGCAAAACACACACUUUAUCUUGAAAAUUGUGAGAAACAUACAU